rnacentral:tRNA from 1 species
GCUCAGUCAGUUAAGCAUCUGACUUUGGCUCAGGUCAUUAUCUCACGGUUCGUGGGUUCGAGUCCCACAUUGGGCU